CCUACGGGUGGCAGCAGUGGGGAAUAUUGCUCAAUGGGCGAAAGCCUGACGCAGCGACGCCGCGUGAGGGAUGAAGGUCUUCCGAGCGUAAACCUCUGUCAGCAGGGGAGAACGGUCCCUGUGCUAAUCAGCAGUGAGUUGACGGUACCUGCAAAGGCAGCACCGGCUAAAUCCGUGCCAGCAGCCGCGGUAAUACGGCGGGUGCGAGCGGUAAUCGGAAUUACUGGGCGUAACGCGCUCGUAGGCGGCAUGUCAAGUCAAGGGUGAAAUCCCCGCGCUCAACGUGGGAACUGCAUUUGAAACUGGCAAACGGGAGUGUGUGAGAGGUAGGCGGAAUGCGAGGUGUAGGAGUGAAAUCCGUAGAUA
rnacentral:rRNA from 1 species